UUGAUGUGUAGGAUUGGCGGCAGGCUUUGACGUGUGGACGACACUCUGCAUGAAGCCGACCGUGAAAUACAACCCUUUAAUGAUUGAUGUUCUAACGAGGACCCGUAAUCCGGGUUGCGGACAGUGUCUGGAGGGUAGUUUGACUGAGGCGGUAUACUCCUAAAGAGUAACAGAGGAGAACGAAGGUUGGCUAAUCCUGGUCGGAAAUCAGGAGGGUAGUGCAAUGGCAUAAGCCAGCUUGACUGCGAGCG
rnacentral:rRNA from 1 species